rnacentral:rRNA from 1 species
AGACUCCUACGGGAGGCAGCAGUGGGGAAUAUUGCACAAUGGGCGCAAGCCUGAUGCAGCGACGCCGCGUGGGGGAUGACGGCCUUCGGGUUGUAAACCUCUUUCACCAUCGACGAAGGUCCGGGUUUUCUCGGAUUGACGGUAGGUGGAGAAGAAGCACCGGCCAACUACGUGCCAGCAGCCGCGGUAAUACGUAGGGUGCGAGCGUUGUCCGGAAUUACUGGGCGUAAAGAGCUCGUAGGUGGUUUGUCGCGUUGUUCGUGAAAUCUCACGGCUUAACUGUGAGCGUGCGGGCGAUACGGGCAGACUAGAGUACUGCAGGGGAGACUGGAAUUCCUGGUGUAGCGGUGGAAUGCGCAGAUAUCAGGAGGAACACCGGUGGCGAAGGCGGGUCUCUGGGCAGUAACUGACGCUGAGGAGCGAAAGCGUGGGGAGCGAACAGGAUUAGAUACCCUGGUAGUCCACGCCGUAAACGGUGGGUACUAGGUGUGGGUUUCCUUCCUUGGGAUCCGUGCCGUAG